AUUGAACGCUGGCGGAAUGCUUUACACAUGCAAGUCGAACGGCAGCACGGACUUCGGUCUGGUGGCGAGUGGCGAACGGGUGAGUAAUGUAUCGGAACGUGCCCAGUCGUGGGGGAUAACGUAGUGAAAAUUACGCUAAUACCGCAUACGAUCUAUGGAGGAAAGCGGGGGAUCGCACGACCUCGCGCGAUUGGAGCGGCCGAUAUCAGAUUAGGUAGUUGGUGGGGUAAAGGACCACAAAGCCAACGAUCUGUAGCUGGGCUGAGAGGACGACCAGCCACACUGGAACUGAGACACGGUCGAGACUCCUACGGGAGGCAGCAGUGGGGAAUUUCGGACAAUGGGCGAAAGCCUGAUCCAGCCAUUCCGCGUGCAGGAUGAAGGCCCUCGGGUUGUAAACUGCUUUUGUACAGAACGAAAAGGUUUCUACUAAUACUAGGAGCUCAUGACGGUACUGUAAGAAUAAGCACCGGCUAACUACGUGCCAGCAGCCGCCGUAA
rnacentral:rRNA from 1 species